ACUCGAGUCGGGCUCCACUCGUUUACACCGCAUGAGUCCGACUCCCGACUCUUCCGCUUUCAGCUUCCACGGAGCGCCUAGGGUUUAAGGAUCGAGCGACACAGCCCCAUGGGAAGGAGAUCUCCAUGUGAAGACCAGCCAAAACGACGUCAAGGUUCCUCUAAUCUGACUAUCGGCUAAGCUCAAGUGGCCACAUUAUGCUUUUUUAUGUUUCAUCUCAUCUCGCACGGAAAAUUCAAAAUUUCCAGAUUAGGAGCUUUUGGCUCAAGAUGUCAGAUUUCCUGCCCAAGAAUGAUGUCUGCAACCCUUCAAUUGGCAUGCCAUUAAUGCAAAUAAUAAUUUCAGAGAGCGCCUCAUUGCUUGAUAUGCAGGUGAAAAAAUUACUAUCAUUUGUUUCUAUUUGCCAUUUCCUUCAUGAUGAAGAUUAAUGAUGGUCCUCUUCUGAAAUUGCAGUGGAAGCUAACUGUUCCGAUAAUUUCUGAUGUACAUCUUGAUUGAUGAUGAAUUAAUGCAGGUUAAACCAGCAGUAAAUCAUUUUUUUUUUUAAACCAAGCCAGGAAAUUAUUUUAAAACAAGGGAGCAUCUUCACAAGGGAUUCAUAAAAGAAACC